rnacentral:rRNA from 1 species
GAGGAAUUCCUAGUAAGCACGAGUCAUCAGCUCGUGCUGAUUACGUCCCUGCAAAAUGUACACACCGCCCGUCGCUAUUACCGAUUGAGUGUUAAGGUGAACCUUCUCGAUAGAGCAAUCUAAAAAUUAAGUAAACCUUUACACUUAGAGGAAAUAAAAGUCGUAACAAGGUUUCCGUAGGUGAACCUGCGGAAGGAUC